rnacentral:rRNA from 1 species
AACGAACGCUGGCGGCGUGCUUAACACAUGCAAGUCGAACGCGAAAGGGACUUCGGUCCUGAGUAAAGUGGCGCACGGGUGAGUAACGCGUAGAUAACCUGUCUUCAUGUCUGGAAUAAUACGCCGAAAGGGGUACUAAUACCGGAUAUUCUUGCUUUUCAUAAGUUAUGCAAGCAAAGGUGGCCUCUGCAUAUGCUACUGCAUGAAGAGGGGUCUGCGUACCAUUAGCUAGUAGGUGGGGUAAUGGCCUACCUAGGCGACGAUGGUUAGCGGGUCUGAGAGGAUGAUCCGCCACACUGGCACUGGAACACGGGCCAGACUCCUACGGGAGGUAGCAGUGAGGAAUAUUGCGCAAUGGGGGAAACCCUGACGCAGCGACGCCGCGUGAGUGAAGGAAGGCCUUCGGGUCGUAAAGCUCUGUCAAGAGGAAAGAAGUGUACAAUGGCUAAUACCUGUUGUAUUUGACGGUACCUCUAAAGGAAGCACCGGCUAACUCCGUGCCAGCAGCUGC